rnacentral:lncRNA from 1 species
GGAGGUUUACAGUGGCCAUGCGCAAUAAAUGCCGGGGGAGCGGCAGAGUAUGGUCCUCGGCCGGACCUCAGAGGGGUAUGGCCGUAGUAGGUGGCUGACAAGGGUAGACCUUGAGCAUCAGGGUUUUCCUAGGUCGGAGGUUCCGAGGUCGGAUGUCUUGAGGUCGGGCGCUCCGAGGUCGGACGCCGACUUCGGCCGUCCAGGGUCGGCGAUUGUACGACUUCUUAGGGGCAUUUGUGUCACUGGGGGGG